GAGUUGGGGGAGAGGACCAGAACCACCUGCUGGAGAAGGGGAGCUACGGGGGCCGGGCAGGGUCCAAACGCCUCACGUAGGCGGCGGCGCCACGGUCUUCGGGGUCACAGGGAAGAGAAGGGCUCUCCUCAAGCGGGUGGAAGGAGGGAGGCCUCCCGAGGGAGUGAGACUCUAGGCCACUCCCCCGCAGCAAGGCAGGAUCACCUGCGACGCGGAGAGCGGUUAGAGGGCCCUGGAGUGGAAAAGGGCAGUGGGACCUGGUAGCUUGGGUUCCCUGCAACUUGGGGUUCGACCUCCAGGCAAUGAAGUAGGGAUGGUCCUGCAAGUCAAGAUUCCAGUAGCAAGAGUGCAUCAGAUCUCUGUAAGGAAAAUAACUAACAUUGCUCAGUUCCCUGUAGAGUUGCAGGGCGCUUUAACGUUAUCUCCCUUGGUUCUCCAUCAGGUCGUAGUGGACUAAUUUUACAGGCGAAGUUAAGUGACUUACCCAAAACCUCACAGCUAAUAAACGGCAGAGCCGGCACCCAGCUGUACUGGCUUCCAAUUCUGUUAGCUUACCAGCGCAUCACAUUAUCUCCAUAAAUCCCCAUGAUUCAACUAAUAUUAGACGCCCCACAGAGUCUCGCUACUCAAAACGUGGUCAGUGGCCCAGCAGCACUGACAUGAGGAUGUUAGUUAGAAACUCAGAAUCUCAGGCUCCACCCCAGACCUGCUGAACCAGCAUCUUCAACUUAACAAGAACCCGAAGAGAUUUGUGUCACAUCAAAAAGUUUGAGAAGCUCUGAUCUAGGGCUGGAAGGAGUGUUGCUCAACAAUAUCCAAAACCACAGAGGUUGAAAAGCACAAGGAAAGAAGGUAUGUUUGCACUUUGUGAUUAGGUAGUAGGGUCUUUGAGACCACAUUGUUCUUAUUGAAAGCCUGGGAAGAAAGAUCCCCUUUCUGGUCAAGUUUAGUCUAGGGAUCCAUCCCAUCUUCCCCAGUUCCCACGUGUAUGGGACAUGUCGAGAUAAGUAGAUAGAUUGGACAGUGGGAGAAAGUAGUUCUCUUCCAGUUGCUUCUAUUUUCUCAGCAAAGUGAGGAGCAAGAUCAUUUUGGCAGACUGCUAAUUGUCCAUCACAAUUUAGUCUCCCUUUCUCCCUGAAAACACAGACUGCUUUUCUCAGCCUCUCUUUCAGUUGCAUAUGGUCAAGUAUUAAGUUAUAGAACGUGAGCAGAUGUUAUGUCUGCCACUGUCAGGCCAAGGCGUUUACUUUGAGAGUACUUGUGCCUCUUUCAUGCAUUUUCCUUUCUGCCAGCUGGACCCUGGACACGGUGACUCUGAUUCAAUUAUGCAGAUGACCACAAACCUCUGGGGUUGGCAGAGCCACAAGAAAGAAGGUGCCUGGAUGAAGGAGAGCUACCCACUGACCUGGACACCCAAUUAUAGGAUAGACAGUGAAGUGCAACUACAGCCCGCAAAUGAAAAUGAAUAAUAUUAAUCCAGCCCCUCAAGGCAGUCAUCUGUCUUAGAGCUAUUGGAAUCCUGGAUCAUUGUGGGAAAUGAAAGACGAGAAACCCCAGCUGAGGAGGCAAAUAUACUCAAGGAAAGUAAUAGUUUCCAAAUGCCUGGCAGUGCCAGGAAGGGGCCAUGUCCAUGGACCACUAUGUAAGGAUAUCUCAGUCUCUAGUCCAGCGUGGUUUAUGGUGCCAAAUAAGUGCCAGGUGAACUCACUACAUCUGACAAAAUCUCAAGGAACCAAGUUUACCAGAUAAUAUUUAUGAUUAUGUGAAAAAGACUGAGGAAAUCACUCAAGUGAUCCAUCAUACAGCACCUCCAGUUCCAAAGAAUACUGACUUACUUCAGCUGUACUGGUCUGGAGCUGCACAUUCUUUUCAGACAACUCUUGUUCCAGUAAGUUCAGGCGA
rnacentral:lncRNA from 1 species